GAUAAACGCUGGCGGCACACAUAAGACAUGCAAGUCGAACGGACUUAACUCAUUCUUUUAGAUUGAGAGCGGUUAGUGGCGGACUGGUGAGUAACACGUAAGCAACCUGCCUAUCAGAGGGGAAUAACAGUGAGAAAUCAUUGCUAAUACCGCAUAAGCUAGUAGCAUCGCAUGAUGUAGCUAGAAAAGGAGUAAUCCGCUGAUAGAUGGGCUUGCGUCUGAUUAGCUAGUUGGUGGGGCAACGGCCUACCAAGGCGACGAUCAGUAGCCGGACUGAGAGGUUGAACGGCCACAUUGGGACUGAGAUACGGCCCAGACUCUUACGGGAGGCAACAGUCGGGAAUAUUGCGCAAUGGAGGAAACUCUGACGCAGUGACGCCGCGUAUAGGAAGAAGGUUUUCGGAUUGUAAACUAUUGUCGUGAGGGAAGAAAUUGACAGUACCUCAGGAGGAAGCUCCGGCUAACUAUGUGCCAGCAGCCGCCGUAA
rnacentral:rRNA from 1 species